GACGAACCGUGCGAACGUUGUUCGGAUUCACUGGGCUUAAAGGGCGCGUAGGCGGGCUUGUAAGUCAGGGGUGAAAUCCUCCGGCUCAACCGGAGAACAGCCUUUGAUACUGCAAGUCUCGAGGGAGAUAGGGGUCUGCGGAACUUCCGGUGUAGCGGUGAAAUGCGUAGAUAUCGGAAGGAACGCCGGUGGCGAAAGCGGCGGACUGGAUCUCAUCUGACGCUGAGGCGCGAAAGCUAGGGGAGCGAACGGG
rnacentral:rRNA from 1 species